rnacentral:tRNA from 1 species
GCUUCCAUAGCUCAGCCGGUAGAGCACCACCAUGGUAAGGUGGGGGUCAGCGGUUCGAAUCCGCUUGGAAGCUCCA